UCAAAGUUUGACUUCGCAGCUCAAAAAUUAUAAAAAUGAGGUUUAUGUUUCUAUAUUCCGAAUAAUUUCUCAAAUGACCUACCUCAUUACCGGGUAGUUGCUUUGGUCAAAUUUUUUGCUGAACACGUUCAAUUAUUAUUUUAUUGUUAAAAAAUACUUGUAAACAAAUAUCUCAAGAUACUUUCAAAUCCAAAAAUAAAAUAAGAAUUCAAUCCCUUUGAGUUUGGGGGUGUUCGGCAGAGGUUUAGACCAUUGCAAGUAUCAGUCAGUCUUUGAGGCCUUUUUAAAAACUAUUUUAAAUGAAAUGGUGACGUCCACAGGCAAGCUUUCGGGUGCUCUUAGGCUAUACAUUUUUCAUGGGAAAGAAUUCGCAGUAAGACAGAUUCGAACUUUUCAACACAUUUUCGAUGGUGUGACCAUUGGUGGCUGCGAUGGUGACUUAAAUAUCUUGAUCUAGUCUCUGUAUGGUUGGCGCAGCACUUAUACUUAUCGGCUUCUCACAAAAAAUAGUUUAAGGGAGUCAAAUACCAGCUGAGAGGCGGUCGUUUGACGAACACAGUGCACAGAUCGAUUGUAGCGUUACUUGUGCUGUUGAUACCAAACACCGUUCCUCGAGCACCGAAUGAAAAUUUAUCGCUCGCUCACUCUGCAACGCGGCAAGAAAGAAAACAGUGAAAACGAAAACAAAAUUACGACGAUCAGCUGAAGCUUUGGAUUUUAUUGCUCCGAAAUAGUGGCGUUUCAUACAGCCUCCAAAAAUAUAUAUGAAAAAUUAAAAAAAAA